rnacentral:lncRNA from 1 species
UGCCAUCCACAACUACAAAAAUGCAGCAUGUUGCCACAACCAUACCACAAUGGUAUCAAUCUACCAUAACAUGGCUAAAAAUUUUAGUUUUCUAAUUUCAAUAAAUAUUACAAUCAAAUCCCAAAAAGGUUCAUUAGCAAUACUACCACAAAUGCCACAACAAGGCAGCAUAUUGCCACAUCCAUAUCAUAAUGGUAUCAGUCAACCAAAAUAUAGCCAAAAAUAUGAAUUUUCUAGUUAACAUAACCAAUAUAUUCAACCAACAAAAAGGAAAUAAUCGCAGUUCAUUUUUUUUGGUCUCUUGGAGCCACAAUGUCAUAGCCUUGACAUCCUUACAGUUGGUUGCUUCCUGUUUGAGGAUCUACUUUGUUGGCUUUCUUGGUUGGUAUCACUUAUAAGCUAACUUGGUUCCUGUAUAUAAGUCUUCAUGGUUAGUAUGUAAGUAGAUCGCAGCACCCAAAAAAAGGCAAUUGAGAACUAGUACCUAUGAAAGAGUAGUAGCAGUAGUACUUGAGACACUAGCCUGAGCUAUAGAAGCUACAGAUGUUGCAUUUUUUGUUGGACCAACUUUAGAUGCCUAUAGUUCAAAUCGAAAUGAAUGAGUGUAUAAGUAACAACAAAAUAAACUAAAAAAUUGAUUUGGUUCUAAAAUGUUACAUUACUUUGUAAAGUUUGGAUUUAGGGUGAUUGCUGAUUUGCAGGUUCUUCUGUUAAGUUCAGAUUUCAAACGCCUUCGGCAGUAAACUGCAAGACCCUUCCUACUUGCUUUCUACUGAUUUAUAGGCUAUUCUAGACCCUUCUUCCUCUGUGUCUUUGGCCUACCAGGCUGUUUUUUCACCAAUGGUGGGUUCAAAUAUUGCAUUUUGCUAUCCACCUAGAACUAUUUCAAAGGAACGGGACCAAUUGUGAAGUUGUAGGCCCUUAAAUAUGCUUCCCUAUGGUGACAAGCAUCAACAUAUUGCUCGAAUUCCAACUUUCUGCUAUGAAUGCAGGCAACCGCAUGCACGCAUGGAAUGCCACUAAGUUGAAAAUGACCAUAGGUACAUGUUUUCAUCUCCACAUUAACAACAUUUGUCCUUCCAUAGCCAUCAACUUCCAAAUUUUCAUUUCUCCAUAAAUCGCAGCACAAUUUCUUGCAUUUACCUUUAGUUUCUCUAACUUCUCAUGAAUGUUUUGGGCAUAAAGUGCCACCAUGUUUCAGGAUGUCCUCUCAUUUAGUUGCUGACCUUUGCAUUAAUCUCCUCUGAAUCCACUCCAGCAUUGUUAUUAUUGGCUCAUCUCUAGCUUUUAGAAUAUAAUUAUUCCAUGGCUCACUCAUAUUGUUGAUGCACGUGUCACUCCUACAAGCUGUACUGGACCAUAGUUUUGGAGGCAACUGUUUGAACCAUCCUGCAGCUGCUAGCUUGUCACCUUCCUGUGGAUCCGCCCUUUCAAGAUUUGUUAGGGUAGUUUCAUACUCUGAUAUGCUUGCUGCUGCAGCAACUUUCCAAAACAUGCCCCUAUGGUCUUGAUUUUUGAAUCUUUGUUUGAAGUUCCCGAACAUAUGUUUCAGGCAGAAUUUGUGCUCUAAUUCAGGGAACAACUCCUCAAUUACAUGGACAAGGCCCCUUUGUCUAUUCGAAAUGAAAGUGUAAGCCAAGACUGUAAGCAUCCCUACCCAAGACUGUAAGCAGCUAACUUCCAAAGGGACUAUUCAGCAAGCAGCCAUCUAGUCCUAUCAUAGGUCUGCAUCCUUCUAGAAAAUCAUUCUUUAGAGUACCUAAUCCAUAAUAUAUCCUCUGAAAUGUAGCCCUUUUCUCAACAUUUCGCCUAUCAAUUUGUAGUGAAAUAUGACUAUCAUAAUUGGAUAUUUUUACAGUAGCUACAUAAUCCCAAAGUUUAUGGUAUUGUUCCAUGUCAUUUUUCAUAAGUGCCUCUAAUACUUUCGGCUUUGUUGUUACAGCUUUUUUCUAACUAAUGUCUAGCAUAAAUAAUCUGCUUGUCUCUUUCACUAUGGCAAGAAUACUAUACCCAAGAUCAUCUGUCACCUUGACAUAAAAUUUAUUACUUAGAUAUGUUGAAGUGGCAUGUCUAUUGUUGUAAUUCCUGCCACAAUGGUAUUCUCCCUUAAGAGUUUUGAUCAUAAAUAUCUUUGUUCUAUAGAUUCUGCUUGCAUGAAUUCUCCAACUGCACCCUUUUGCACAUUUAGUUGUGAUUUGGAAGCCUUCAUUUUUGAUGUAUUUGUGCUCAUAUCCUUCCCUAAUUUCUCAUUCCACCAAAGCCUCUCUAAAUUUACAGAAGCUAGUAAAUUUAUGGUCAACCUAUAGUUCAAAGUGCUCUUUUCUAAACUCUUCCUCCGCAUUGAAGUAACUGUAAUCAGGAAUGCUAUCAUCAUCAGAUCCUAUCCCUUUGUCAAACAGGUUUUCAUCAUCCUCUACUGGCUCAUUCCAGUUCUCUUCCUGUUCAUUAGCACAACAGCUAUCAUCCACACCUGAUGUUGGUUGACUCCCCACUUCAUGGGUCUGGUUCUUUGUUUGUUUUCUUGAUUUCGAUUACUGAUUUUGUUGUUGCUACUUUGAAUCAAUUUGUUUUUUGAAUUGGGCCUGCUGAUUUUCUUCUUGUUAAUCUAAAUCGACUUAUUUUCUAGUUUUUACUUGCUAAUUUUCUUUUUACUGCUGUGAACCAACUCCAACAAAAUUUGUAGAUUUUAGAUUUAUAGAUACCUGUGUUGAUCAUUAACCUUUUAAACUUAUAAAUAUGUCAUCAUCUUCAGGCCAUUCUAGUGCUUCUCUUAGUCAGUCAGGAAGAUCUGAAUAAUCUAGUUUGACAUCAUCUUCUUCUCUGUCUUCAUGAACUAUUUUUUCUCCCAUAAUAUUAGUUGUUUCUUCUAUUGGAUCUCUCUCAACUGUUGUUUCAUCUACUGAAUUCCUUGUGGGAGACUGUUGGACCUCUGAGGAUGUAUCGACUUUUUCUUUCUCUUUAAAUAACCGCCUGACUGACUUUUUUGCACUUAACUUUACUCUUUGCCGCUUAACUUUUUUAUCAUUUGUUGUUUUCUUCCUUUUGGACUUGUUAGCUAAAUCAUGUAUCUCCUCUCUAUGUGGUCCCACAAAAGUUGGAUCCGACUCCAUUUGUGAUGACUCUUCAUCACAGAUGUCAUUUCCUCUAGAGUUAAUGUGUGGAAUGUCAUUAUUGUCCUUAUUCCCAAUUACUAAAGGGUCAAUGUUAUCACUGCUUUUCAUAACUGAGGAUGAACUAAUUUCAACAUGCCAAUUGUUAUCAUAUGGAAGUGCAACUACGCCAUCACUAGUCACUCUCUUGUAUAGUAAUUUUUCAUCUAAAAACAUAACUUCAAUGGGAUCAGGCCCCCUCUCAGCAUCUAUGUGCAUUUUUGGAAGUCCCUCAUAACAUGUUGUUAAUAACUCGAUGUCAACAUCAUCCUUAAUGCUAACAACACCAAUAUCAAUGUCAUAAAAGGGGAUAGAGUACCAGAAAUUCAUAUUUGUUAUGCCACGCUCAAUUGUGAUAUACAUUUUUUGAAAUUCAAAUGAAGAUAAUUCAUCAGGAUCCCAUCCACAAAAUACUCUGAAGUGUUUGCCAGUGUAUCUAAUUAUCGAUUUUCAUUUGAAAUAUCCAUCAUAAUGCAUGUGUAUAUCUAUGGUCUUAAACGGAUGAUCUUCCAUUCUUAUACACCUAAACCAAAGUAAUAGAGAUUAAUUUACUAAUUUCAUUUUCAAUUGUAUCGAAAAGAACGGACAAUAUUUCAUACAUUUUCGAUUUCAAAAAAACAUAGUCAACAUUAACGCACUUAUCUAGAAGGAUAAAAAACAUAAUACCAGUAUGGGCUACAAUAGUCCCGGUUACUCCAAAAAGACCCAUUCUUUUCUACUUUUUGCAUAUUUAGCAAUUUUUAAAAAAUUUUCCCACAAAGAUUGUCAAAAAAACUUCUGACUAAGCCAAAACUGACACUCUUUUUACCAAGUUUCAAAAUAUCCCCAACAAUUUACUACCAAAACACCUUCCAUCAAACCAAUCAACACCUCUAAAAUUUAGGGUUCAGAUCUAAGAUUACCUCGUUAAUAGCUAUGCAAUGCUCAAUACGUCGCAACCCUCGACCGAUCUACACAGAAACGCCUUCUUCGUCUGCGAGUUACACAUGAAAAUCCCGUUGUUUAUCGGUGCCGUAGAAGAUGAUAGUGAUUGGGACGGAACUUGGCUGUAGAUUUAAGGUUUCUCUCUCUACACAUGAAGUACCGCUCAAGAUCUGCUAAUUGCAUCUGUACCUUUUCAGAUAUUAUAAAUGAGGGUACUUUUGGUAUUUUAUAUUGUUACCGGCUUUCCAGCCAGUUAGCUAGUAAAAUCCAAAGAAAUCCAAAGUACAAGGGAGUUAAGUGAGUGUUUCUAGACAAUAAGGGGGUUUCGUGUCAAUUUUCCUAACCACAAGGGGAUUUUCUGUAUUUUACCCAUAAUUUUUCUAAAAAAAAGUACAUUUGCUUAGAAUAAGAUCUCUUAAUAAUAACUUAAAUUUCUUCUAGAAUUAGUAAAUUUCAACAAUUAUAAUGGCAUUGGAAAGGUAUCAAGUUGAAGGAAUGAAACGAGCCAUAAAGAUUAAACAAUUCAUAAUGAACAAGAAGAAUAUACCUUAAUAUGCAACUUGGUCCAUGUGAGAUAAAUCUUCAAACUUUUGGCAACUCAAUUUCUUUUAAUUGUCUUUACUUCCUGCAUAUAUAACAAAAAAUUUACAAAAAAUUCUAUGAACAAUAAAGCAAGUAACUUGUACACAGAUAGUAGAUGUUUGACCGUAAAACAAUAAAGUUUACCUUUUUUUUGAUCCCGUGAAGAUUUUUACACUAAUCUUCUACACACAUCAAUACUUGAGUUGUAUCUGGGUGAAGUGAAGCCUGAUAGGUAUCAAUUACUAGAGUCUUGGCACUAAAUGUGGCCUCGGAUGCAACUGUAGUUACUAGAAUGGCCAAAAGAUUACAGGCCAUGUGAAACAAUACUAGGUAUGGGAUCCAAUUUAUUUUCUAUAAUUCCAAACAAUCAAAGUCUUUGGUGGUUGUUCCAAUCUUUUGGCAAGACUUGUCUAAAUAAUCAACAAAUUCAUAUUUAUAAGGUUCGGUAUUCUAUAUUUCAUCACAAUACUUAUCAAAGUCAUCCUAAGCAGAAAAAUAUUGUAUAUUUUUUCCUACCAUUUCUGAAGAGUGGUCUUCCACUACUUGUCCAUUUGCAUUCACUGUAAAAGCAACAUACUCCUCAUGCAACUCAAAUAUAACUUUUCAAAUAUUGGAAAUGUUCUCAAAAGCUAGGGUAGAAAAGCUCUAUAACCCGUAUUUUCUAUCUCGGAUCUAAAAUGGCAGCAACUGUCAUUAGCAAAUUACAUUCAAUAUUGUGACGACCCCACCUUCUUCUAGGGCGUACCCUAGAAGUUAGCGGACUGCCUGCCUGACUUUCGUUAGGACUCACUCACUCACAUUGACUUCAGAGAUAAUAUUUCCAUUAAACAACUGAACGUUCACUCCUAAGUACAACUCCAAUCAGCUUGAAACAUAAAUUUUUCCAAUAAAAGAAACAAAAUACAUGUUCUAAACAUCCAUUCUUAAUACCACACCAAACUCAUGAUAAAAGGUUUGACCAUUUCAAGGUACAAAGGAAAACCAUAGCUACAAUAUAUACACAUUAACGGAUCUUUCAAAACAACUUACUAAUUCAACUCGAUCAUUCUUCAAACUUCAAUUCCUGUAAGGAAAACAAACUAAAAGAUUGAGCGAAACCCAGUGAGGUUCCACACAAGCAACAAUCAAUAAACUCUUAAACCAGUUAAGCCAAUAACAAAAUUAAACAACUAAGGAACACUUUACUGAACAAUCACUUUUAAAGGGAUACGGUGCUCGCAUUAGAGCCAUUUCAAUGCACUACACACUCCACCGAACUCCUCCUUAUAAUCUCCAAAACAGUAAACAUUUCGCUUACUUAGAUGGUCAUAUCAAUAUCAGUAAUCUGCUACUCCGUGGUAAUACUCGAGCAUAAAACACUGGCAUAAUCAUAUAAGUAUCAUUUAAGCAACACAUAGGCAAUUUAAACACACAAAUGUGGAAACACUCACCAAAUUCCAAAUAAAUUACUCUCGAGUCUCGGGUUUGCUUUCUUACUCACAGCUAGCCCCCUGAGACAAGUUUAUAACUCUAAAGUGAAUAUACAAUUCAUAGAUGACCACUUAUCAUUUAUUACCUUAUGAUUUAAACUAUUAAAGUCGAGUUUUGGCUUUAAAAUACA